AUGUGGACCUGUCUUCGUCAGUGCUAUGAGCCCUCUGGUGAUGCCUUAUACCUUUCUGUGGUUCGUCAGGAGCAUGCUCUUCAGCAGGGUGACUCUACUGUUGAUGACUUUUAUGCACAGAGUUCUGCUAUCUGGCGCCAGUUUGAUUCUCUCCGCAGUGCUGGCUGUCGUACUUGCCCCUGCUGCCAGGCUGUCCAGGCCAACUUGGAGUUUCAUCGCGUCUACGAGUUCCUGUCUCGGCUCCGUAAGGAGUUUGAGCCCCGGCGUGCUCAGUUGUUUGCUCGUGGCCGUAUUUCUCUCAUGGAGGCACUUUCAGAGAUUCGUGCUGAGGAGACUCGCUUAUGUGGUGCUGGUUUGCUGGAGGUUCCCUCUGUGCUCGCUACUCGGGCUUCUUCCACUCCACCUGCUGCACCGCCCCAUUCUCGCUCGAGUGCUCCGCCGCUCUUGCCCACUCCUUCUGGAGGCUCAGGUCGCCCCCGUCCACAUUGUGACUACUGCAACAAUGAUGGUCAUAUUGAGUCCCAGUGCUACACAAAGCGGAAAAACCCGCGCAAGGCGCGAUCAUCCUCCUCAGGGACUUCGUCAUCUCCCUCGACAGCUUCUGCCAUUGCUUUGACUGAGCAGGAUAUUCUGAGACUUAAGCGUCUGCUCACGGCUUCAGGUUCUUCCUCGACGGGUACUGCUGGUUCUGUGACUGAUGCUUCCCGCACUGAGCACCCGCCCUCUACACAGUCAGGUACAUCCCCAUGGGUUCUGGACUCUGGAGCUUCUUUUCAUAUGUCUUCUCAUUCUUCCGUUUUGUCCUCUCUUGAUCGCUGGAUUCUCCUGUUCAUGUUUUCACUGCUGAUGGUACUCCACUUUCUGUUGCUAGUAGAGGCCAUCUUUCCACUCCUUCUUAUUCUGUUCCUGAUGUUGCUCAUGUUCCUCGACUUACCAUGA
rnacentral:rRNA from 1 species